AACGGGGCUAAGCUAAAUACCGAAUUUUUGAUUCCCCUCGCAAGAGGCGGAAGGUAGGCGAGUGUUAUAUAGGCCGCGAAGCUUGAGCGCGAGCACAAGUGGAGCCUACAUAAGCAAGAAUGCCGGCGUGAGUAACGUAUGAAAGUGAAAAUCUUUCUAGCCGAUUGACUAAGGUUUCCAGGGCAAGGGUCGUCCUCCCUGGGUUAGCCGGUCCUAAGACCAGGCCGAAAGGCGUAAUUGAUGGAAAGCAGGUUAAUAUUCCUGCGCUCAUUUGGUCGGCGAUGGGGUGACGAAAGAGGUUAUUGCGGGCGGGUUAUUGGAUUCCCGUUCAAGUUUUCGAGUGGGGGGCACAGGCAAAUCCGUUCCCCGUAAAACCAUGAGAUUCGAGUACGAGCGAAAGGAGAAAUCCCACUAGCGAAGCCGCAUACAUCAUAUUUCCAAGAAAAGCCUCUAGCUUAACGACCAAGUAACCGUACCGAGAACGAACACACGUGGUCAAGGAGAAAAUCCUAAGGCUAUCGAGAUAACUACAGUUAAGGAACUCUGCAAAUUGGCCCCGUAACUUCGGGAGAAGGGGUGCCUAUCUUCGGGUAGGCCACAGUAAAGAAUGAGGGGGGACUGUUUAACAAAAACACAGCUAUAUGCAAAAGC
rnacentral:rRNA from 1 species